CCUUUUUAGCCCCUGUCUCAUCCCUUCCUGGCUCAAGGUCCUCCCCUGUCGUGAGGCUGAGCAGGUGCUGUAGGCAGGACAAGCCAGCCGUGGGUGGAAAUCUCUCAGCCACACAUCUUCCUUUUGCUGGACAAACAAAUAGCAUCUCCAGCUGUUCUGUUAACUUCAUGUGAUGCGAAAGACACGCAAGCAAUACACAUUUCUGCAAACUCAGUGUGCUGAGAUGGGAAUUCCCACAUGUAAGCCACAGGGCCACCCCAGGAGCUGCCUUUGUGAAAACCUUUCUGGACAUGGAGAGCUUCAUGGCACACCAACACCUUUAAGUAGUGAGGAGUUCAUUUAUGACUUGCUGAAGGCAUCCUUGAUUUUCAGUUUGGGGAGUCAGGCUGACAGUAUUUACCAAGUCUUUGUUUAAGUGUACAAGCCUCCUGUUUUAGCUUUUCUAUCUGGGUAUUCCUGCAGAGAUACAAGAAGUCAGAUGGACUAGAAAGGUGGAAGAAUAUGUAUCAUAAACUCCCCUGCAACUUAAGCAGAGGCAGCACAUGGUAACAGAGAUUACAGCUUAAUGAAUGGCACCUAACAUGCACUCACGUCUAUGAAUCCCUCUGCUUAGGGCUUGAUUAUCUAAUCAGUGAUUCAAAAUUACACAAACAAACAGACUGUAUUUGUAAACAAGGUCUAUAUUCUCAUUGUGCAAAGUGAUUAGCACAUGACACAGAUGACCAUAUGCACUCAUAGCCCCAUCUGGACAAUGUGCAUCCACAAAGUGCAAGCUGAUGGGCCUCAUUCUGACCUCUCAUUGGUUUACAUGGAUUUUGUCAGUGCAUGUCCUGAUCCACACCAGCGACAGCAGAACUCGCUACUUUCUCCCCAGUGCUUUUAAAAAUUUGCAUCAAAAUCUUGCAGUGAGCAGGUGGUGAACUGCCUUUUGCUUUGGGAAUCACUAAAAACCUGAAGUCCUGUGCUGCAUCUGUAGGAAGACCACCAAAUUUACCUUCUUUUCUAACCUACCAAAAAAUAAGAUGAAUACAUAGCACUCAUAGGAAGAGAGAGCCUGCUUCUAUUCUUGGGUUCAUUUUAUUUGCAAAAGCAGGAAGACCAAGAAGUACUGCUUGUCAAAAGCCAGAACAGGGUGUCUGCUUUCUGAAUGGUACAUUUCAAAAUUGAGACACUUCACCAGAGGAUAAAUGAACCCUGCAGCAACCUGAACACUUUAAAAUACAUUACCGUGUGCCUGGGGAGAAUUGUUCACUCCCUGCUGGUGUAAGUUGGUUUAACAUCAGCAGAGCAGCAAACAUGGGAGAGGCAAAACCUUUUUCUCUUUUAAAUCUCAGCUUAAAUACAAAACAACUACUUACAGGCAAAGCUAGGAGGAAAAUGAGUUUUACCUGGACUCCAGCAGAACCUCUUCUUAC
rnacentral:lncRNA from 1 species